CCUACGGGUGGCAGCAGUGGGGAAUAUUGGGCAAUGGGCGCAAGCCUGACCCAGCAACGCCGCGUGAAGGAAGACGGCUUUCGGGUUGUAAACUUCUUUUCUCAGGGACGAAGCAAGUGACGGUACCUGAGGAAUAAGCCACGGCUAACGACGUGCCAGCAGACGCGGUAAUACGUAGGUGGCAAGCGUUAUCCGGAUUUACGGGGUGUAAAGGGCGUGUAGGCGGGACUGCAAGGCAGAUGUGAAAACCACGGGCUCAACCUGUGGCCUGCAUUUGACACUGUAGUUCUUGAGUACUGGAGAGGCAUGCGGAAUUCCUAGUGUAGCGGUGAAAUGCGUAGAUAUUAGGAGGAACCCCAGUGGCGAAGGCGGUCUGCUGGACAGCAACUGACGCUGAGGCGCGAAAGCGUGGGGAGCAAACAGGAUUAGAUACCCCAGUAGUC
rnacentral:rRNA from 1 species